rnacentral:rRNA from 1 species
UACGUAGGGGGCAAGCGUUGUCCGGAAUCAUUGGGCGUAAAGAGCGUGUAGGCGGCUCGGUAAGUCCGCUGUGAAAGUCCAGGGCUCAACCCUGGAAUGCCGGUGGAAACUGUCGAGCUAGAGUCCGGAAGAGGCGAGUGGAAUUCCUGGUGUAGCGGUGAAAUGCGCAGAUAUCAGGAGGAACACCGAUGGCGAAGGCAGCUCGCUGGGGACGGUACUGACGCUGAGACGCGAAAGCGUGGGGAGCAAACAGG